GUGGGGAAUUUUGGACAAUGGGCGCAAGCCUGAUCCAGCAAUGCCGCGUGAGUGAAGAAGGCCUUCGGGUUGUAAAGCUCUUUUGUCAGGGAAGAAACGGUGAGGGCUAAUAUCCCUUGCUAAUGACGGUACCUGAAGAAUAAGCACCGGCUAACUACGUGCCAGCAGCCGCGGUAAUACGUAGGGUGCAAGCGUUAAUCGGAAUUACUGGGCGUAAAGCGUGCGCAGGCGGUUUUGUAAGUCUGUCGUGAAAUCCCCGGGCUCAACCUGGGAAUGGCGAUGGAGACUGCAAGGCUAGAAUCUGGCAGAGGGGGGUAGAAUUCCACGUGUAGCAGUGAAAUGCGUAGAUAUGUGGAGGAACACCGAUGGCGAAGGCAGCCCCCUGGGCUAAGAUUGACGCUCAUGCACGAAAGCGUGGGGAGCAAACAGG
rnacentral:rRNA from 1 species